AUCUAUCGGUGUGGUUUCAGUGGUUUUAAUUUUAGUUACAUUUUUUGUUCCUCUACUUUCUUCAUUUGCAGUUACCUAAAAUUAUUUAGAACAAUAAUUGUUGAACAUAAAGUGUUAUGGUGUACCUAUAAAAGGCAUAUUGAUUUUAAGCAUUAUAAUUAUUGUGAAAUACAAUAUAGGGAUCCCAAAAAAAAUUAUUCAAACAAUAGGAGACGGGUUCCAUAAUAGUUACUGUACCGCAUUAUAGAUUUUUGACUGAUCGCAAGUUGGACUUUAACCUAACACACAAGAUGCUAAAGUGUUCUUUUGUACGGAAUGGAAGAACGGACGUUAAAGGCCAGCUCGAUUUACAAACUUGAAGUCUUUUAAAUGUGGUGCCUGUGCCGAAUAAGAACUAAAAUUGAGGGAUCAUGCAGUCCUGUACUAUAGAGAGCACAGGAUAACACUCAAUGUCCUGUCUCUAAUCUAAACGUCUUCGUGUACCUUACUUAUUAAAUGUAUGUUUUUAUAUACAUUUAUGUAUACAGUUUUAUAUGUAUUUAUUAAUUAUUUUCCAAUUAUUCCUUAACUACUUUACAUGUUACUGCAUUAUUUCUUUUUACUACUUUUGUGUGUGUCAAAAUUGACUGUUUGAUUUCCACUGCGGCAUGACAUGUAGUUCCUACUAUGUAAAAAUUGUCAACAAAUAUAUCUAUGGCUGUAUCUUUGUAUACGGUUUUUCUUGAAA
rnacentral:lncRNA from 1 species